rnacentral:rRNA from 1 species
AUUGAACGCUGGCGGCAGGCCUAACACAUGCAAGUCGAGCGGCAGCGGGAAAGUAGCUUGCUACUUUUGCCGGCGAGCGGCGGACGGGUGAGUAAUGCCUGGGAAAUUGCCCAGUCGAGGGGGAUAACAGUUGGAAACGACUGCUAAUACCGCAUACGCCCUACGGGGGAAAGCAGGGGACCUUCGGGCCUUGCGCGAUUGGAUAUGCCAGGGUGGGAUUAGCUAGUUGGUGAGGUAAUGGCUCAACGAGGCGACGAUCCCUAGCUGGUCUGAGAGGAUGAUCAGCCACACUGGAACUGAGACACGGUCCAGACUCCUACGGGAGGCAGCAGUGGGGAAUAUUGGACAAUGGGCGCAAGCCUGAUCCAGCCAUGCCGCGUGUGUGAAGAAGGCCUUCGGGUUGUAAAGCACUUUCAGCGAGGAGGAAGGGGUGUGUGUUAAUAGUACUCAUCUUUGACGUUACUCGCAGAAGAAGCACCGGCUAACUCUGUGCCAGCCGCCGCCGUAA